rnacentral:piRNA from 1 species
UAUCCAGAAAAAGUUCAGUUU